GGCGGACGGGUGAGUAAUAUAUAGGUAAUGUGCCCUAGAGAAGAGGAUAACAGUUGGAAACGACUGCUAAUACUCUAUAUGCCUUUAAGACAAAAGUCUGCAAGGGAAAUAUUUAUAGCUCUAGGAUCGGCCUGUACGGUAUCAGCUAGUUGGUGAGGUAAUGGCUCACCAAGGCAAUGACGCCUAACUGGUUUGAGAGGAUGAUCAGUCACACUGGAACUGAGACACGGUCCAGACUCCUACGGGAGGCAGCAGUGGGGAAUAUUGCACAAUGGGGGAAACCCUGAUGCAGCAACGCCGCGUGGAGGAUGACACAUUUCGGUGCGUAAACUCCUUUUAUAUAGGAAGAUAAUGACGGUACUAUAUGAAUAAGCGCCGGCUAACUCCGUGCCAGCAGCCGCGGUAAUACGGAGGGCGCAAGCGUUACUCGGAAUCACUGGGCGUAAAGAGCGUGUAGGCGGGUUAAUAAGUUUGAAGUGAAAUCCUAUGGCUCAACCAUAGAACUGCUUUGAAAACUGUUAACCUAGAAUAUGGGAGAGGUAGAUGGAAUUUCUGGUGUAGGGGUAAAAUCCGUAGAGAUCAGAAGGAAUACCGAUUGCGAAGGCGAUCUACUGGAACAUUAUUGACGCUGAGACGCGAAAGCGUGGGGAGCAAACAGGAUUAGAUACCCUGGUAGUCCACGCCCUAAACGAUGUACACUAGUUGUUGUGAGGCUAGACCUUGCAGUAAUGCAGUAAACACAUUAAGUGUACC
rnacentral:rRNA from 1 species